CCAGACAGAGAUUGAUAAAGGCUCUUGAUACCAAAUGUAAGAUCAUAAAUCUUAUCUAAACAUAUACAGAAUGAGUUUACGAGUAACCUAACCUCGUAAUAGCGGAAGCAUAAAUCGUUGAUCUCCAGCCAUAGUUGAUGGCUUGUUGUGUUGCCUGUGUUAGUCGUUUUGUCUCACACUUGACUCAGAACCUAGAUGGUGUCCUGGUAUUUUCUGAGCAGUGUGAGUACCAUGUCUGUAGGUGUCUAUAUAAUUGUCUAUCCUGCACCCCAUCAAUGCAGGCUUAUAUAGGCAUAUGGUGGAUUGGACUAAACCUAGAUGUCCAAUCCAACCUAUAGCUUAAUGGGCCUAGUCCACUUGCACCACAUUAUUAAGGCCCACAAUAUAUAUAAUAUAUUGUAUUGGGAAAAGUCUUACAUAAUUUGCAUUCCUUUAUAUUAAAAACCCAAAAAUAUUAGUUUACUUUCCAUUCUCAAUCAUAAUUUUCUUGGAUCCUUGUGAAUCCAGAACUUUAGUGUCUAGAAUCUAACAAUUAAUACAAGUACGUGCCAUAGCCCCAAUCCUCAGCGGAACGACAUUUUCACCCCCUUUUUAUCACCACUUUUACUCAUCAGUUAAUAACAAUGUUGUGGGAAAAAAAAUAAGGAUGAUUUCAUGCUUGUUCUCUGGUACUGAUUCUUCACCCUAAAAUUUUUUUAAAAAAAUGCUUUUGAUUAUUUGUUUCUCUCCUUAGCUUGUAUGAUUUCUAUUACUAACUUCCAUGUAAGGAAGAAGUAGUCUAUCUAUUACUUUUUUUUUUUUUUGGAAAUUAAAUUGGCAUUAGAAUAAAGGUUGUCUAGAAAGUUAUUUAUUGCCAAUAAGAUAUUGCGAAGAAUAUUACAGCUAUGGAUGAAUUUGAUAGUGGCGCUAAGAGCCCCGAAAAAGGUCAUGCUGCCAACGAUGAUUGGAGUGCAGCCCCGCUUCCUGAAAAAGUUCAAGUAGGUGUUCACCAGUAUACAAGAUAGAAAGAAAGCUUGGCAAAGGAGACUUUGGACAAGUCUAUGUUGGUCGCGGAAUUUCUAGUGGUAAUGCAAUUAAAAGAACCAUCCCGAGAGCAAUUGAAGUAUAUGUCAUGACACCCUUACUAAUAAAUUGGAUAUCUCUCGUGUAUGUUCAAUGCAAACAUAUGUUUUAGUGUUCUGCUGCUCAGGUGGCUUUGAAAUUUGAGCAUCGAAAUAGUAAAUAAUGCAACUAUGGACCACCUUAUUAUGAAUGACAGGUUUACAAGUCUUAACAUUGUUUGUAGGAGCUCUCCCAGAGAAGCAAGUUGUAAUAGUUUGUUCCAAUUUGAGGCUAAAGGUUGUGAAAUAGUAUGUUAUAUGAGCGAUUCAGAUGAAAGUAAAAUGAAGAAAUUAGCUAUUCAGAGGUGCCAUGCUCUCCGAGCUCCUCAGUUGUUGAGUCUUCGAAGAUUCAAAAUACUACAAGGAAAAGUCAUGACUAUUAAUUCUCAUCAAGGGUGAAAAAUGAUAUUCAUUAUUUAGUGAUGAUGUAAAUGGACAAUUUCCUUUUGCAUGAAACCCUCAUAUUGAAUAAACUACUAUGUUGCUUUAUAUUUUUCAUGCAAAAAUACUUUUCAGUUAUGUAUGAAGCUCAAUUAAUAUGUAGACGGUUGUACAUGAAUAUUCUUUGAUAUUAUUUGACAAAUAAUUGUUGCAAUUGAUUUUCUUUUCAA